rnacentral:rRNA from 1 species
CCUACGGGAGGCAGCAGUGAGGAAUAUUGGUCAAUGGACGGGAGUCUGAACCAGCCAAGUCGCGUGAAGGAUGACUGCCCUAUGGGUUGUAAACUUCUUUUGUAUGGGAAUAAAAUGGUCCACGUGUGUUCUGUUGUAUGUACCAUAUGAAUAAGGAUCGGCUAACUCCGUGCCAGCAGCCGCGGUAAUACGGAGGAUCCGAGCGUUAUCCGGAUUUAUUGGGUUUAAAGGGAGCGUAGGUGGAUUGUUAAGUUAGUUGUGAAAGGUUGCGGCUCAACCGUAAAACUGCAGUUGAAACUGGCAGUCUUGAGUACAGGAGAGGUAGGCGGAAUGCGUGGUGUAGCGGUGAAAUGCUUAGAUAUCACGAAGAACGCCGAUUGCGAAGGCAGCUUACUGGACUGCAACUGACGCUGAGGCACGAAAGCGUGGGUAUCAAACAGGAUUAGAUACCCGGGUAGUC